rnacentral:rRNA from 1 species
ACUCAAAUGAAUUGACGGGGACCCGCACAAGCAGCGGAGCAUGUGGUUUAAUUCGAAGCAACGCGAAGAACCUUACCAGGGCUUGACAUCCCCCUGAACGCCCCGUAACGGGGGCCGCCUUCGGGCAGGGGAGACAGGUGGUGCAUGGUUGUCGUCAGCUCGUGUCGUGAGAUGUUGGGUUAAGUCCCGCAACGAGCGCAACCCUUGUCAUUAGUUGCCAUCAUUAAGUUGGGCACUCUAGUGAGACUGCCGGGGAUAACUCGGAGGAAGGUGGGGAUGACGUCAAAUCAUCAUGCCCCUUAUGUUCUGGGCUACACACGUGCUACAAUGGCCGGUACAACAAGAUGCGAAGGAGCGAUCCGGAGCAAAUCUCAAAAGCCGGCCCCGGUUCGGAUUGCAGGCUGCAACUCGCCUGCAUGAAGUCGGAGUUGCUAGUAAUCGCAGAUCAGAAUGCUGCGGUGAAUGCGUUCCCGGGUCUUGUACACACCGCCCGU